rnacentral:rRNA from 1 species
UACGGAGGGUGCGAGCGUUGUCCGGAAUCACUGGGCGUAAAGGGCGCGUAGGCGGCUUCUCAAGCGUGUGGUGAAAGUCCGGGGCUCAACCCCGGAUCGGCCGUGCGGACUGGGGAGCUCGAGUUCUGUAGAGGCGGGUGGAAUUCCGGGUGUAGCGGUGGAAUGCGUAGAUAUCUGGAAGAACACCGGUGGCGAAGGCGGUGGUCUGGGCCGAAACUGACGCUGAGGAGCGAAAGCCAGGGGAGCAAACGGG